UUCCGGGAUACCGCUGGGCCAGAUCCAGC
rnacentral:sRNA from 1 species